rnacentral:rRNA from 1 species
UCCGGGGGGGGGGUGGCCCUAUACAUGCAAGUCGAACGAACUCUGGUAUUGAUUGGUGCUUGCAUCAUGAUUUACAUUUGAGUGAGUGGCGAACUGGUGAGUAACACGUGGGAAACCUGCCCAGAAGCGGGGGAUAACACCUGGAAACAGAUGCUAAUACCGCAUAACAACUUGGACCGCAUGGUCCGAGUUUGAAAGAUGGCUUCGGCUAUCACUUUUGGAUGGUCCCGCGGCGUAUUAGCUAGAUGGUGGGGUAACGGCUCACCAUGGCAAUGAUACGUAGCCGACCUGAGAGGGUAAUCGGCCACAUUGGGACUGAGACACGGCCCAAACUCCUACGGGAGGCAGCAGUAGGGAAUCUUCCACAAUGGACGAAAGUCUGAUGGAGCAACGCCGCGUGAGUGAAGAAGGGUUUCGGCUCGUAAAACUCUGUUGUUAAAGAAGAACAUAUCUGAGAGUAACUGUUCAGGUAUUGACGGUAUUUAACCAGAAAGCCACGGCUAACUACGUGCCAGCAGCCGCGGUAAUACGUAGGUGGCAAGCGUUGUCCGGAUUUAUUGGGCGUAAAGCGAGCGCAGGCGGUUUUUUAAGUCUGAUGUGAAAGCCUUCGGCUCAACCGAAGAAGUGCAUCGGAAACUGGGAAACUUGAGUGCAGAAGAGGACAGUGGAACUCCAUGUGUAGCGGUGAAAUGCGUAGAUAUAUGGAAGAACACCAGUGGCGAAGGCGGCUGUCUGGUCUGUAACUGACGCUGAGGCUCGAAAGUAUGGGUAGCAAACAGGAUUAGAUACCCUGGUAGUCCAUACCGUAAACGAUGAAUGCUAAGUGUUGGAGGGUUUCCGCCCUUCAGUGCUGCAGCUAACGCAUUAAGCAUUCCGCCUGGGGAGUACGGCCGCAAGGCUGAAACUCAAAGGAAUUGACGGGGGCCCGCACAAGCGGUGGAGCAUGUGGUUUAAUUCGAAGCUACGCGAAGAACCUUACCAGGUCUUGACAUACUAUGCAAAUCUAAGAGAUUAGACGUUCCCUUCGGGGACAUGGAUACAGGUGGUGCAUGGUUGUCGUCAGCUCGUGUCGUGAGAUGUUGGGUUAAGUCCCGCAACGAGCGCAACCCUUAUUAUCAGUUGCCAGCAUUAAGUUGGGCACUCUGGUGAGACUGCCGGUGACAAACCGGAGGAAGGUGGGGAUGACGUCAAAUCAUCAUGCCCCUUAUGACCUGGGCUACACACGUGCUACAAUGGAUGGUACAACGAGUUGCGAACUCGCGAGAGUAAGCUAAUCUCUUAAAGCCAUUCUCAGUUCGGAUUGUAGGCUGCAACUCGCCUACAUGAAGUCGGAAUCGCUAGUAAUCGCGGAUCAGCAUGCCGCGGUGAAUACGUUCCCGGGCCUUGUACACACCGCCCGUCACACCAUGAGAGUUUGUAACACCCAAAGUCGGUGGGGUAACCUUUUAGGAACCAAGCCCCGCCCG